rnacentral:rRNA from 1 species
GCGACUAAGCGUACACGGUGGAUGCCCUGGCAGUCAGAGGCGAUGAAGGGCGUGCUAAUCUGCGAUAAGCGCCGGUAAGGUGAUAUGAACCGUUAUAACCGGCGAUACCCGAAUGGGGAAACCCAGUGUGAUUCGUCACACUAUCAUUAACUGAAUCCAUAGGUUAAUGAGGCGAACCGGGGGAACUGAAACAUCUAAGUACCCCGAGGAAAAGAAAUCAACCGAGAUUCCCCCAGUAGCGGCGAGCGAACGGGGAGGAGCCCAGAGCCUGAAUCAGCAUGUGUGUUAGUGGAAGCGUCUGGAAAGGCGCGCGAUACAGGGUGACAGCCCCGUACACAAAAGCGCAUGUGCUGUGAGCUCGAUGAGUAGGGCGGGACACGUGGUAUCCUGUCUGAAUAUGGGGGGACCAUCCUCCAAGGCUAAAUACUCCUGACUGACCGAUAGUGAACCAGUACCGUGAGGGAAAGGCGAAAAGAACCCCGGCGAGGGGAGUGAAAAAGAA